rnacentral:rRNA from 1 species
UACGUAGGGGGCAAGCGUUGUCCGGAAUCAUUGGGCGUAAAGAGCGCGUAGGCGGUCCGGUAAGUCCGCUGUGAAAGUCAAGGGCUCAACCCUUGAAUGCCGGUGGAUACUGUCGGGCUAGAGUCCGGAAGAGGCGAGUGGAAUUCCUGGUGUAGCGGUGAAAUGCGCAGAUAUCAGGAGGAACACCAAUGGCGAAGGCAGCUCGCUGGGACGGUACUGACGCUGAGGAGCGAAAGCGUGGGGAGCGAACAGG